AGAGUUUGAUCCUGGCUCAGGAUGAGCGCCGGCGGUGUGCCUAAUACAUGCAAGUCGAACGCGUUGGCCCAAUUGAUUGAUGGUGCUUGCACCUGAUUGAUUUUGGUCGCCAACGAGUGGCGGACGGGUGAGUAACACGUAGGUAACCUGCCCAGAAGCGGGGGACAACAUUUGGAAACAGAUGCUAAUACCGCAUAACAACGUUGUUCGCAUGAACAACGUUUAAAAGAUGGCUUCUCGCUAUCACUUCUGGAUGGACCUGCGGUGCAUUAGCUUGUUGGUGGGGUAACGGCCUACCAAGGCGAUGAUGCAUAGCCGAGUUGAGAGACUGAUCGGCCACAAUGGGACUGAGACACGGCCCAUACUCCUACGGGAGGCAGCAGUAGGGAAUCUUCCACAAUGGGCGCAAGCCUGAUGGAGCAACACCGCGUGAGUGAAGAAGGGUUUCGGCUCGUAAAGCUCUGUUGUUAAAGAAAAACACGUAUGAGAGUAACUGUUCAUACGUUGACGGUAUUUAACCAGAAAGUCACGGCUAACUACGUGCCAGCAGCCGCGGUUUUCUAAGUCUGAUGUGAAAGCCUUUGGCUUAACCGGAGAAGUGCAUCGGAAACUGGAUAACUUGAGUGCAGAAGAGGGUAGUGGAACUCCAUGUGUAGCGGUGGAAUGCGUAGAUAUAUGGAAGAACACCAGUGGCGAAGGCGGCUACCUGGUCUGCAACUGACGCUGAGACUCGAAAGCAUGGGUAGCGAACAGGAUUAGAUACCCUGGUAGUCCAUGCCGUAAACGAUGAGUGCUAGGUGUUGGAGGGUUUCCGCCCUUCAGUGCCGGAGCUAACGCAUUAAGCACUCCGCCUGGGGAGUACGACCGCAAGGUUGAAACUCAAAGGAAUUGACGGGGGCCCGCACAAGCGGUGGAGCAUGUGGUUUAAUUCGAAGCUACGCGAAGAACCUUACCCAGGGUCUUGACAUCUUGCGCCAACCCUAGAGAUAGGGCGUUUCCUUCGGGAACGCAAUGACAGGUGGUGCAUGGUCGUCGUCAGCUCGUGUCGUGAGAUGUUGGGUUAAGUCCCGCAACAAGCGCAACCCUUGUUACUAGUUGCCAGCAUUAAGUUGGGCACUCUAGUGAGACUGCCGGUGACAAACCGGAGGAAGGUGGGGACGACGUCAGAUCAUCAUGCCCCUCAUGACCUGGGCUACACACGUGCUACAAUGGACGGUACAACGAGUCGCGAACUCGCGAGGGCAAGCAAAUCUCUUAAAACCGUUCUCAGUUCGGACUGCAGGCUGCAACUCGCCUGCACGAAGUCGGAAUCGCUAGUAAUCGCGGAUCAGCAUGCCGCGGUGAAUACGUUCCCGGGCCUUGUACACACCGCCCGUCACACCAUGAGAGUUUGUAACACCCAAAGUCGGUGGGGUAACCUUUUAGGAGCCAGCCGCCUAAGGUGGGACAGAUGAUUAGGGUGAAGUCGUAACAAGGUAGCC
rnacentral:rRNA from 2 species